rnacentral:rRNA from 1 species
GGAUGCGAUCGUACCAGCACUAAAGCACCGGAUCCCAUCAGAACUCUGAAGUUAAACGUGCUUGGGCGAGAGUAGUACUAGGAUGGGUGACCUCCUGGGAAGUCCUCGUGUUGCAUUCC